CCACACCUAAAUCUUUCCACGUGAAUUGUUUUGCUGUACCUUUGGGCUUCGCCGUUGUCUUGUUCUUUUGUAAGAGAAAGGGGGAGGCGCGGUUGGAGGCCAUCAGGGGUGUGUUCGUCGCGGUUUGUUUCUUUUGUUGGAACUUGCGCGCGGAUGCGUCCUUUUGUCAACCCAUUUUUUGAAUGAAAAACUGAUCAUACUGUGGGGACGAAAGUCUCUGCUUUUAACUAGAUAGCAACUUUCAGCAGUGGAUGUCUAGGCUCGCACAUCGAUGAAGAACGCUGCGAACUGCGAUACGUAAUGCGAAUUGCAGGAUUCAGUGAGUCAUCGAAAUUUUGAACGCAUAUUGCACUUUCGGGUUCUGCCUGGAAGUAUGUCUGUAUCAGUGUCCGUACACUAAACUUGCCUUUCUUGCGUCGUGUAGUCGUCGCUGGGAAUGCGCAGAUGUGAGGUUUUGUCUUGCUCUGGCUCGAAUUCGUUGGGCAGGAGCAAGUCCCUUUAAAGUCGGACGUGUUUUCUCUCUGCGGUGUGCUGUGUCGGCGCUGGCGGCGCGUGGGACUCUCUUGUCUGUUGACGAGUCUGGCGACCUUUGGCUCGUGCAUUGCGGGGUGUGCUCGAUUGGCGGUAUGUUAGGCUUCGGCUUUGACAAUGCAGCUUAUUGGGUGCGCUUCGUGGCGCGUGGCUGUAUGGGUGAACCGGAUGGUCUUCGGUCGUUGUGUGAGUUUCGCGUGCGAGUCUGUGCUGGUGUGCGUGCUGCGUUGGGGGACGUCACAUUGGGAUGUGUGCUCUUGGUUUUUGUGUGUGUGUGUGUGCGAUUCGUGGCAAACACAAACACACAAACAAAAAAGCUGGGCAUCUCAAUUGGACCUGAUAUCAGACAAG
rnacentral:rRNA from 1 species